rnacentral:lncRNA from 1 species
UAGAAUACACGAUGAGAGAAGAAAAACGUUUCUAGGCGACUCCAAAGGCGAUUUUUAGGCAAUCAUACCCGACACCCCUCCGGUGACACUCCUCUCGCUAGGGUCCACUCUCUGUUCCUUUCAAGAUUGUACACUGUUUCCAACUGGAGUUAUGGAAGUGGAGGCUAGACUAUCUAGCUUGUAACACAAGUUGUCCGACCCUGUGUUUGAGUAAACGAGGGGGGUGGUUAUCCAGUCCUCACUGUGUAUUUGCGUCGACGAGGACCUACCCUCCCUCCUCUCCUUUUCACUUUCACGGAACUCCCCUGUGAAGGUCCGUCCACUUAACCUCCCUUUGUUUCAGGACUUGAGGAAGCCGGAAUGGAGAUGGUGUUGGCACGGUCUUAGUCAGAAUACAAUCGCGGAUUUAACUUGCUAAUCAUGAUUGGGGUGUCGCCCAUCAUUUCCCACGUCCGAUCACAAUAUUUGAGAUAAUCAACCAUUCUAUUGAGAAUACACAGAUUAUCUUAGUUUAAAUCUUAUUAUCCUUAGUUUAAUCUUAUUAUCUUAAGCUAUUUUAGAUGAUUAGUCAGGCC